UGUAGGAGUGAGCCUGCUCGCGAUAGCGGAGUGCCUGUCAGCAUAUUCUUCACUGACAGAACGCUAUCGCGAGCAGGCUCACUCCUACA
rnacentral:misc_RNA from 1 species